rnacentral:rRNA from 1 species
AGAGGUGGAUUGGUGGCCUUCGGGAACUGUGAGACAGGUGCUGCAUGGCUGUCGUCAGCUCGUGUUGUGAAAUGUUGGUUAAGUCCCGCAACGAGCGCAACCCUUAUCCUUUGUUGCCAGCGGUCCGGCCGGGAAACUCAAAGGAGACUGCCAGUGAUAAACUGGAGGAAGGUGGGGAUGACGUCAAGUCAUCAUGGCCCUUACGACCAGGGCUACACACGUGCUACAAUGGCGCAUACAAAGAGAAGCGACCUCGCGAGAGCAAGCGGACCUCAUAAAGUGCGUCGUAGUCCGGAUUGGAGUCUGCAACUCGACUCCAUGAAGUCGGAAUCGCUAGUAAUCGUGGAUCAGAAUGCCACGGUGAAUACGUUCCCGGGCCUU